UGGGGAUGUCCUGUAAUAUAUCGUCGCUUUUCUUGUUUACAGGGUACUGAGAAAAUACGUCUCCCUUAGAGUCCCACGGAAAGGUUCUCAGUGCGCUCUCUAUCAAGUGCUAUGAGUCUUGAUAGAUUGGAGAAGAGCCCAAGAGAAAUUUUUCAUCCCUUGAUAUAAAAGGGAUCGGUGAAUUUUAACUUUGGAGUCCCCUAUGCUAAGGAUGCUCAGCUUACAGGUGAUGAAAUGUUCAGUAAUGUAUUUGCUGCAGCUCUGCUUACCCAAGCUUUGGGUUCCUUCUGUCCCACUGGGAGUUGCCCAAUUUGGUUGCAUCUGGUGAAAUUCACCCUGAGACCUUACAGAACCAGCUCCAGCUACGUGAGAGCCAUUUGCAGUUCUCUCCAGACGCCUGGAGAAUGGGCGACGUUUCUGAGGAUCCGGCGAGCGUGCUUCUGUCAAAACUCAGUCUGUGAAAUUCCUGGGGAAAACCCUUCUGUGUCCUGAAGGGUUCAAACUCUGGUGAGGAUCCAGUUAUCAGGUGCUCACCUGGAUGGUUCCAG